AUACGGAGGGUGCAAGCGUUAAUCGGAAUUACUGGGCGUAAAGCGCGCGUAGGCGGUUUGAUAAGUCGGAUGUGAAAUCCCCGGGCUCAACCUGGGAAUUGCAUUCGAUACUGUCAUGCUAGAGUGUGGUAGAGGGAAGUGGAAUUUCCGGUGUAGCGGUGAAAUGCGUAGAUAUCGGAAGGAACACCAGUGGCGAAGGCGGCUUCCUGGACCAACACUGACGCUGAGGUGCGAAAGCGUGGGGAGCAAACAGGAUUAGAAACCCUAGUAGUCC
rnacentral:rRNA from 1 species